rfam:Triticum aestivum genome assembly, contig: Triticum_aestivum_CS42_TGACv1_scaffold_288483_4AL
CUAGUACUCCCUCCGUCCGAAAAUACUUGUCUUUAAAAUGGUUGUAUCUAGACUUAUUUUAGUUAUAAAUACGUUCAUUUUAUUUCGAGGACAAGUAUUUUCGGACGGAAGGAGUAUCAA